GCUCAGUAGAUUAAUAACAGUCAGUAGUUAUGUAUUUCUUUGUUUCAUCUUCAUAUAUGCAUGUUUCUGCUUUACAACUUUAUUUUCUGAUUUCAUUGUUUCAUCUGUCCUUUCCAUGCCUUUCCCUAAACGGAAAUAGAAAUGCAACAGUCUCCCAACCAGACAUCAAGAACAAGAGAUUCAGGGAAAGUUAUAGAUGACCUUUCCCAAGGAGAUUCAGUAAGGUAAGAGUUAAAAGAAUUAACAUAUUUUAGCAAAUCCGAGAGAGAGAGAGCACCACUUAUUAUUGUCUUAUGUUUUUGUUAUUUAAGAAGCUCUGAAAAAGAUGAAGGGGAUGACAGCUGGCUUACAUCAGAGGAGGAAGAACUAGAUUUUACCCCUAAGAAACCACAGAAACCAAGUUUGACUCUGCUAAUGAACUCUUCCCAGCAAUUCAAGAAAAACAGUGAGAAAAGUAGCAUUAUGAGAACAGAACAUAUAGCCAUUUCACAGCAAAAUAAAUCAGAUUGUGAAGCUGAAGAUGUCAUUGAAUCCCCUCCUAAGCCUUUUUCCCAAGUCAAGUCCUACCCUCGACCUGUCCAUCCCUCACCUGGCUCCUUUUCAAAACCUUCCCAGAUGACUCCUCCUCUCCUGGGGUUUAAACAGGAAGAAUCAUCGGAGGAGGAAGAUGACAUAGAACAACCGCAAAUUUCAAAUGUUGCAGAUAGAAGUUUGAUUUGUAAUGGCAACCGUGAAGGUCAGAAUUCCUCAGAUACUGCUAUUAGGAAAGAUACAAUGUCAGUAUUAGGAUUGGAAGAGGAGGAGGAUACAGAAUCACCCUGGGAUUCAGAGUGCGCUUCUGAAAGCCCAAGAAAACUACCAGUCAACCUGUUAAUUUCAUCUGCUGUCAGGACUGAAACACACAUGCAGAGUAUUUUUGAGGAAC
rnacentral:lncRNA from 1 species